rnacentral:rRNA from 1 species
UACGGAGGGUGCAAGCGUUAAUCGGAAUUACUGGGCGUAAAGCGCACGCAGGUGGCUGAGUCAGUCGAUUGUGAAAGCCCUGGGCUUAACCUGGGAAUUGCAGUCGAUACUACUCAGCUAGAGUAUGGGAGAGGGUAGUGGAAUUCCGGUGUAGCGGUGAAAUGCGUAGAUAUCGGGAGGAACAUCAGUGGCGAAGGCGGCUACCUGGCCCAAUACUGAACACUCAGGUGCGACAGCGUGGGGAGCAAACAGGGAUUAAGAAACCCUGGUAACGUCC